UUUUUUUUUUUCCCCCCGCUUUGGUGAACUCGCAGUACUUGGGCUGAGCCCGAAAUCUCGCGAGAUGCUGCAGGCGUCAGUGCGGCUUCCCACUAGGCGCGUGGUACCCGAGGCCGGGCCGGAGCCGCAGGCCAGCCGCGAUUCCUUCGGGCGAUGCUGGGGGCUUUCCGGUCGGGGCCGCAGCCGCUUCCGGAGCCGCGGGCGAGGUGCGUUCCCCAGCCUGGUUUGCUCUGGGCUCUGACCCGCCGCCGCGAAUCUCCGCUCGUAACUCCGGGCCUGAACCUGGAGGAGGGAGGAUUUCCUCUGUGCAGCUUUCGAGCGGUAGACUCACCCUGCCAGGCAGACCUAGAUUGGCAUAACCAGAGAUCAGUUCCAGUUGUGAUGCAGUGGGUGUCUACACACUUCUGAUGACACCUUUAUUUUAAAAGCUGAUGUUCCAAGGAAUGGAUUUUCUUCUGUGUAUUGCUGACACGAACAGGAGACGGAAAUACUGAGUAGAAGAGGGCGGUUCCCUGGCUAAGGCCCCACCCUCAAGCCUGGAUACCCGCGGCCCUAAAUGAGAAGAGGCGUUUCUGUUUGGGGCCCAAAAAGUUGCUUUUUGACCCACCACGCCCCCUAUCCUGCCCCCAUAUAAACCCCAAACCCCAACCUCCAGAGCAUACCAGCAGGUGAGGAGAUACGAGGCAAGCCGACUGACGGCAAAACGACGUAGCAGAGAAAGAGAGAAGAGGAGGGACGUCUGGACACCGAGAGAUGUUUGGCUCGGGGCAGUCAGAGCGGAGUCCAGCCCCUGGGCGGCCCAACUCCAGGGGAAGAUCACCUUCCCACUUCAUCCAUCCCCACCCUUCCAGCUCCCCAUCCAUCCUGCUGAAAGCCAUUUCCACCACUCAAUAAAACCUCGCAUUCAUCCUUCAAGUCCGUGUGUGACCCGAUUUUUCCUGGAUUCUGGAAAAGAGCUCGGAAUACAGAAAGCUGUCCCCUGGUCCUUUGCCCUUGUGAAAAAGCAGAAGGUCCAUUGAGCUGGUUAACACUCCAGCUGUCUGUGGUGGCCAAGCUGAAAGAGCUUUGUAACACUGGGGUUGCAGGCACCCACCUCUAGACGCUACCGCAGAGCCAGAGCCCAAAGCCCUCACCCCGGCCUCUGCACUUGCCCAUCUGCGUGCUCCCCCUCUCGCAAGGGGUUUCUGCAGAGGGGGCUACUGAACAGGUGAGCCACACCCCUGUCGCACGCCCUGCAAGGGGAAUCAGGGAACUCUUCCGUUUCAUUGCUUUGACCACAUCCUAUAAAUCUUGUUCUCCUUGUCUUUCAGCUCCAAUUUGUUUAUACAUUCAGUUUUUACUUUUGACUUUACUCAUGAUUUAUUAUAGAAAGAUGUUUAACAAUUUUCAAGCAAAUGGAAUAAUUUUUGCUCCUCUUUCGUUGUUAAUUUAUUAUUCAUUGGAGUUAGAAAAUUGUUGCUAAAAUAAAUUCUGCAUUUUGAAAUUU
rnacentral:lncRNA from 1 species